GCCUGGGUGGCUCAGCCGGUUAAGCAUCUGACUUCGGCUCAGGUCAUGAUCUCACGGUUCGUGGGUUCGAGCCCCGCGUCGGGCU
rnacentral:tRNA from 1 species